rnacentral:rRNA from 1 species
GCCGCAAGGUUAAGGUAGAAAGAGCACACGGUGGAUGCCUUGGCACCAAGAGGCGACGAAGGACGCGGCUACCUGCGAAAAGCUACGGGGAACUGGAAGCGAGUGUCGAUCCGUAGAUGUCCGAAUGGGGAAACCCGGCAGGCGUCAUGGCCUGUCAUCCUCUGCUGAAUACAUAGGCAGACGGAAGCGAACGGAGGGAACUGAAACAUCUAAGUACCUCCAGGAGAAGAAAUCAAUUGAGACUCCGCUAGUAGUGGCGAGCGAAUGCGGAUUAGCCCAAACCUGCAGGUUUCCUGCAGGGGUUGUGGGGGCCCGACAUGGGACCGUAAGAGCUAGCAGAACGGCCUGGGAAGGCCGGCCAUAGACGGUGAUAGCCCGGUAUGCGAAAGUUCGAGCGGCCCUAGGGAGUCCCCGAGUAAGGCGGGACACGAGAAACCCUGUCUGAAGCUGGGAGGACCAUCUUCCAAGGCUAAGUACUCCUUGGUGACCGAUAGCGUACGAGUACCGUGAGGGAAAGGUGAAAAGAACCCCUGCGAGGGGAGUGAAAAGAAUCUGAAACCGUGUGUUUACAAGCAGUCGGAGAGCUAUGGCCGCAAGGCAAAGCUCGACGGCGUACCUUUUGCAUCAUGAGCCAACGAGUUGUGGUCAGCGGCAAGGUUAAGCCGAUAGGCGAAGCCGAAGCGAAAGCAAGUCUGAGAAGGGCGUCUAAGUCGCUGGUUACAGACCCGAAACUUUGUGAUCUAUCCAUGAGCAGGCUGAAGCGCGGGUAAGACUGCGUGGAGGGCCGAACUCACCACAGUUGAAAAUGUGGGGGAUGACUUGUGGAUAGGAGUGAAAGGCUAAUCAAACUGGGAGAUAGCUGGUUCUCGCCGAAACAUAUUGAGGUAUGGGGUCAGUCGAUUUGCAUCGGGGGUAGAGCACUGGAUGGGCUAGGGGGACCACAAUCUUACCGAACCCAACCAAACUCCGAAUACCGAUGACAACAGGCUGGCACUCAGGCAGUGAGAGCUAAGUUUCAUUGCCGAGAGGGAAAGAACCCAGACCGGCAGCUAAGGUCCCCAAUUCAUCACUAAGUGGUAAAGGAUGUGGGAGCACUCAGACAGCCAGGAGGUUGGCUUAGAAGCAGCCAUCCUUUAAAGAAAGCGUAACAGCUCACUGGUCGAGUGAACCUGCGCCGAAAAUUCAACGGGUCUAAGUGAUGAACCGAAGCUCCGGGUCUGCCGAAAGGCAGGCGGUAGGCGAGUAUUGUCUGCGCGGUGAAUGCGUACGGAAACGAGCGUUGGAGUGCAGACAAGAGCUGAUGUUGGCAUGAGUAGCGAUAAACCGGGUGAAAAACCCGGUCGCCGUAAACCCGAGGGUUCCUGGGUAAAGAUCAUCUUCUCAGGGUUAGUCGGUCCCUAAGGCGAGGCAGAAAUGCGUAGUCGAUGGGAAGCAGGCGAACAUUCCUGCACCAGCACGGAUGGUUUUGUAAGGUGGGACGGAGGAGGAUAGCCGAGCGACCUGUUGGAUGGUCGUUCAAGCCGGUAGGCGGUUCGCGUAGGAGGCAUCUGGCCACAAACGCGCGAGCAACGCCGAGAGGUGAUGAGGGUCGCGCAAGGCGGACAACUCGGUGAGUCCAAGCUUCCAAGAAAAGCAUCGUACAAGUGUACCGCUGUGCUGACCGUACCGUAAACCGACACAGGUGGGUGGGGAGAACAUCCCAAGGCGCUUGAGAGAACUCGGGUUAAGGAACUCGGCAAAUUGACACCGUAACUUCGGGAGAAGGUGUGCCCUUGAGGGUGACGGGCCUCGCGCCAUGAGCCUUUGGGGGUUGCAGAGAAUCGGGGGUAGCGACUGUUUACCAAAAACACAGGACUCUGCGAAGUCGCAAGACGACGUAUAGGGUCUGACGCCUGCCCGGUGCCGGAAGGUUAACAGGAGAUGUCAGCGCAAGCGAAGCAUCGAAUCGAAGCCCCGGUAAACGGCGGCCGUAACUAUAACGGUCCUAAGGUAGCGAAAUUCCUUGGCGGGUAAGUUCCGUCCUGCACGAAUGGCGUAACGACUUCCCCACUGUCUCGACCCGGGACUCAGCGAAAUUGAAAUCGGGGUGAAGAUGCCCCGUACCCGCGGCAAGACGGAAAGACCCCGUGAACCUUUACUGCAGCUUGGCACUGGUUUUCGGACUUGUCUGUGUAGGAUAGGUGGGAGGCUAUGAUGUGGGGCCGCUAGGUUCCACGGAGCCAACGUUGAAAUACCACCCUGAGAAGUCUGAAAGCCUAACCGUGACCAGUGAGCCUGGUCCGGGACACUGCCUGGUGGGUAGUUUGACUGGGGCGGUCACCUCCGAAAGAGUAACGGAGGCGCGCAAAGGUUCCCUCAGGCUGAUUGGAAACCAGCCGAAGAGUGUAAAGGCAUAAGGGAGCUUGACUGCGACUCAUACAAGAGGAGCAGGCACGAAAGUGGGCCUUAGUGAUCCGGUGGUUCUGAAUGGAAGGGCCAUCGCUCAACGGAUAAAAGGUACUCCGGGGAUAACAGGCUUAUCACGCCCAAGAGUUCACAUCGACGGCGUGGUUUGGCACCUCGAUGUCGGCUCAUCGCAUCCUGGGGCUGUAGUAGGUCCCAAGGGUUUGGCUGUUCGCCAAUUAAAGCGGUACGCGAGCUGGGUUCAAAACGUCGUGAGACAGUUUGGUCCCUAUCUGCCGUGGGCGCAGGAAUCUUGAAGUGGAGCUGUCCCUAGUACGAGAGGACCGGGAUGGACAGACCCCUGGUGUUCCGGUUGUUUUGCCAAGAGCAUCGCCGGGUAGCCAUGUCUGGAACGGAUAACCGCUGAAAGCAUCUAAGCGGGAAGCCAACCACAAGAUGAGGAUUCCCUGAAGGUCCGUCGUAGACGACGACGUUAAUAGGCCGGGUGUGGAAGCGCGGCGACGCGUAUAGCUAACCGGUACUAAUCGACCGUUCGGCUUGACCUUGGCCACC